AAACUUUCAACAACGGAUCUCUUGGUUCUGGCAUCGAUGAAGAACGCAGCGAAAUGCGAUAAGUAAUGUGAAUUGCAGAAUUCAGCGAAUCAUCGAAUUUUUGAACGCACAUUGCGCCUAAGAGUAUUCUUUUAGGCAUACUUGUUCGAGCGUCGUUG
rnacentral:rRNA from 1 species